GCCUUCGUGGUGUAGUUGUCAGCACACUCGGCGCGUAUUCGAGAGGUCCGUGGUUCGAGUCCCGGCGAGGGCA
rnacentral:tRNA from 1 species